rnacentral:rRNA from 1 species
GAUGAACGCUGGCGGCGUGCCUAAUACAUGCAAGUCGAGCGAACAGAUGAGGAGCUUGCUCCUCUGACGUUAGCGGCGGACGGGUGAGUAACACGUGGAUAACCUACCUAUAAGACUGGGAUAACUUCGGGAAACCGGAGCUAAUACCGGAUAAUAUAUUGAACCGCAUGGUUCAAUAGUGAAAGACGGUUUUGCUGUCACUUAUAGAUGGAUCCGCGCCGCAUUAGCUAGUUGGUAAGGUAACGGCUUACCAAGGCAACGAUGCGUAGCCGACCUGAGAGGGGGAUCGGCCACACUGGAUGUGAGACACGGUCCAGACUCCUACGGGAGGCAGCAGUAGGGAAUCUUCCGCAAUGGGCGAAAGCCUGACGGAGCAACGCCGCGUGAGUAAUGAAGGUCUUCGGAUCGUAAAACUCUGUUAUUAGGGAAGAACAAAUGUGUAAGUAACUAUGCACGUCUUGACGGUACCUAAUCAGAAAGCCACGGCUAACUACGUG